UAAUCUGUUUGUUCCAGUGGUGUACGUCAGUAAUAGAUUAUAGGGAUGUGGACAGAUUAGUGCAACAGAAAGAAUUAUAGAAAUACAAACAAUUUUGGUUAUGUUUACUUCUUGUUUUAAUUGCCUUGCAUUAUUUCAAACAUUGAGGUGCAGAGGAUAUUUCUUCAGGUAACUGCAAACCAAUUUCAGAAUGCCGCACUCAUGCUAUCCUAAUGGAACAUUUAAAUUAAAAAAAUAUUCACUUGUGCCACAUGGAUAUAUUAUGAGGAUUCUCUGUUCUUAAGAAUCAUAUAUUGUUUAUGUUCGUUCUUUAAGAAUCAUAGUGUAUAUUCUUUAUGUUCAGUUGGUGAUUUAUUUACCUUUUGCAAUUCUCAAGAUGCAAAAAAAAGUACACAAGAAAGUGUCUAGCCUAACUAACAUGAUAAUUUUAAUGUUUAUUUGUCAAUAAAAAGUACACUAGAAAAAAGUACUACCGAAUGAACAUUGUUAAUAUAUAGGGGGCUCCCAUUUCUUUGCAGUCUAAAAUUUGACAGUUCUUUGUACCUCUCACAUAUAGAUGAUGGAUUUGUUUUAUUCUGUUCAUUUGUAUGCAUCAGAUAAAGGUGAUCAUGAUCUGCCCAUUUUGUUUUAGAAGCUCAUUUACAUAUGCCUACAGUGGGAAGAAACUAUUAUAGGCCUGACUUGAGAAAAGCUUCAAAACAGUGCAAUAUUCUUGGUCAGCUCAUGGUUAUUGUACUAUUUUCAAAUGCGACAAUUUUAUCAUAGCUGCUAUAAGUGAACAUCAGGUUUAUCAAAACUUAUGGGACACAUAUAAUUGUUGAAAUGGCAAUCCGAGCUCAGGAUGUUAUAUGUGUUAAACGAUAUCAUUCUUUAUUCAACUGCUGAUUUAAAUCUGCAUGUGGCGGAUCUUAGUGAUUUUUUUUCCUGAUGGGAAGAUCCAUUUCCCAAUAUAUCACAAAACAAAGAGCAAGGUACAAAUGCUUCUACCUCGAGUCCAUGUUGAUGUGUUCUUGUGUACUGGAAAAGAAAGAAAAGCUAAUCUGAUUCAUUUCAAUACAGUUGCGUGAUGUUUCUGUCAGGAUAGUGCAGCAACCUAAUAACCUGCACCUUUCUACCUACUCUGAAACAUCAACCAAGGAUGUAAGUAUUUCUUAUAACUUAUUGUCAAUUUGCUGCCUCAUGAUAUCGAGAUCGAGACAUAAGUGCCAAGGAAACCUGAUGCUAUUAUGUUCAAAUUUGCCCCUAUCACUUCUCUUCUUACUGGUAUUCCUGGUAGUGGUUACCUCAGCCAUGCCAUUAAUUUAUAUCUUCGUUGUAAGUCUGAAAAUAAAUCUUUUUCAUAGAACUAUGUUACAUGCUGUUUACUUUGUUAACUGUCUUUUAAUUGAAACAUCUUGGUUUGGAAGCUAUUUAGCUGAUUAGGUUAUUCUACGGUUUGUUCUCCCAGAUAAACCUGAUCUUCAAGACUUGCAGUAUUUCUUGAAGUUUCAAGCGCCUCUACAAUGGGCACCUAUGUUCAAUGAGCUUGUCCUCAUAAUUUUUUAGAGAUCCUUUUUGCUAUUUUCUGUAUGCCUCAUCCAAAUAUGGGUGCAUGUGUCUGAGGUAGCCACAAGGGCCCUAGAGGAUGCUUCUGAUCACUAUAAUUUUGGUGUCAACAUAAGAUCCUCAUCCAAAUAUUAGUAUUUUUUGGUAAUGUGUGUCUGUACCUUAGUUAUCCCAUUUGAUCACAUUUCAGACAAUAGCAGGAACUUGUUUGUCAAUUUAUUCUCGUCUUAAGACUGAAUGUUAGAUUGUUUACUAGGAAAUAUAUUGUCACAUGCUGUCACAUGUCACAGAUAAUGAUGAUUUAAUGAUCCCAAGUUUGACUGUUAGAUAAUCUGAUCUCAGUGACUUGGAAGCUUCACGGGCUUCUUUUCCUCAACAAUUCAAGAGCAUUAGCUUCACUAUUUGGGAUGUCGGCUGCCAAGACAAGCAAUCUCAUGGAUUUCUGCUACCCUAAAGUGCAGUACAAACCUGAAGCAAUUUGCUGGUAUAAAAUUCCAGAUUGGCAUGCACAGACAGGAAUUAGGGGAGUGGUUUUUAUCUGACAGUGAUAUAUUUGAUGACUAGCAUGCAUAGUGUAAUCAAAAUCAGAGCAUUUUACUCUUGAGACGUCACUGAUUAGGAAUUCUAGAAUAAUGUAUUCUUCUGUUCUAUGAGCAAAUUAACGUGUUCAGUUUGAAGUCCAAUUGUAACGUUGAUUCCAGGAAUUGGCUUCUCUUGUUGCUGUUGCAGUUGGUCUAUGUUGUUGUAUAACAGAACUUAUAAAGGAUUAUGCAUAUUUUAAUCUCUAUUGAAAUCUACAUUCAUCU